GGGCGAAUGGUCUAGGGGUAUGAUACUCCCUUCGCAUGCUUGAAUCUCUAUAGCAGCCUGGGAGGGGUCCGGGGUUCAAUUCCCCGUUCGUCCA